rnacentral:lncRNA from 1 species
GAGGUUUUAAGUUUAAAGGUGAAAACUAUAUGAAGAUCAAAGUCAUCUAUACAUUGGUCAGUUUGUAGGUCUUGCCACAAGGUUUGUUGAGUGCGAGUAUAAACUAAAUGGGGCAAUUUAUGUUGGCUGCAGGACCAAAAAUGUAUUUUAUCAAAGUUUUAAGUUUGGAGAUGGUCAUAUGAGGGUCAGGGUCAUCUAUAUAUAGGACACGCCGAAUCUGAUUACACGCUUCAUUUAAGGUAAUAUUAUGUCACUAAACACGAUCUAUAAUAUUUAACACUUCUACAGAUACGACUAUUAAUUAUGA